UAACAUGGGUUUUCUUUUAGUGGAUGGGCAUGGAAAACUGCAGAAGCCAGUAAGUUCCCAAUACGCGAUUCGUGAUUGGCCUGACCAAGGAUCGUUUUCGGUAGACAUGGGUUUUCUUUUAGUGGAUGGGCAUGGAAAACUGCAGAAGCCAGUAAGUUCCCAAUACGCGAUUCGUGAUUGGCAUGACCAAGGAUCCUUUUCGGUAGCUUCGGGGCGGAAUGUCCGAGAAACCUGUCGAGCUUACAGUCGCUAUGGCAACAGUCGACGGUUUCCGCGUGUGCACGUCAUGAUCGCUCUGAAUACGGUGAUUUACUGCUUGUACCAUAUCAUCCGGACGCCACGUGGACGGCGGAUAGCAGCGACGCCGCCAAAAACGAGGCGUCCUCGAGUUGUUCCAGGUCAGCCCAGCCGAGCGGCACAUACCCAUCCACUAUACACACCACAGGGGUAAGCGAAUACUCGAACGACGACAGCGACGGUGGCCCCUAGAGGUACGUGGAAGGGAGGAGGGCGACACUGCUCCUGGCUCGACGCUCCCCAGGAUGUGCGCCUGUGAGCAAGUGCAGCUGGAGGCACAGGUGAGAAGACUCCGGUAUUUUCAAGAAGCUGCCACACGAAGUGUUUGUCCAUGCGACUGAAAUGAAGCGGAACGGCGUAAGGCGCAUCAUUGUCUUUGUAGUAUCUUCGCAAGCAGUCCUGGAGUCGACUCUCGAGGUCGCGCGCGCAACAGAAGGCCCAGUUGUCAGCCUGUGCUCUUCUGGCCCCUGCUGUUGGAGAUGAUGAAUCCAGAGAUGAGUGAGCCUGUGCACAUGAUUCUACGUUUGGUGGACUUUCGUAUUUUGCUCCUAUGGUAGCGCCCGGGAAAACUGAAGUCGAACUUGAAUGGGAUGUUUUGUGCCGGCGGCGCUCAUCCGGCGAGAUGGGCUGUUGCCAUGCCAUGCACAUGCGGGAUGUCUCAAAAUGUCUCAAGAGUUGAUAUAUUUCAGUAGCAGCAUCGCGACAGAAGAAUACGGACUGCAUUGGUCGGCUUAGAGGAGCAGUCGAAGCACCUCUGCUACCAAAGGCUUUUUUCUCAUACAUCGUUGAAACGUCGGGAUACAUCGACGUCCUGCCGGAGGCAUCUGGAGACAGCGGGCGACUACGUCGAUACAACGCCUUAAUAUGCGCCUCGAUAUGGCGCUGAAGGCGAACCUCUAGGGCUCGUGCUUGAGCGAAGUCUGCGCCCCUAUACCUGAGGGCCUGCGCCAUCGGAGUGAUCAUCCCUGCAACAAAAGCAUGAGUGUUACUGUCAUGGCAGAAUACAUAUGGCUAUAGUAUAGACAAAGCCGCGACACAUGGCAAUGCCACUGUCCAACGUCUUCCUAUUGAUUUAUAUUUAUCGCUGUUACAGCGUGUCUGUCUCAGCGCUGGCUUAUCUACCUGUACUUGAAUACCC
rnacentral:lncRNA from 1 species